rnacentral:rRNA from 1 species
GGUUAAGCGACUAAGCGUACACGGUGGAUGCCCUGGCAGUCAGAGGCGAUGAAGGACGUGCUAAUCUGCGAAAAGCGUCGGUAAGGUGAUAUGAACCGUUAUAACCGGCGAUGUCCGAAUGGGGAAACCCAGUGCAAUUCGUUGCACUAUCGUUAACUGAAUACAUAGGUUAACGAGGCGAACCGGGGGAACUGAAACAUCUAAGUACCCCGAGGAAAAGAAAUCAACCGAGAUUCCCCCAGUAGCGGCGAGCGAACGGGGAGCAGCCCAGAGUCUGAAUCAGCUUGUGUGUUAGUGGAACGGUCUGGAAAGUCCGACGGUACAGGGUGAUAGUCCCGUACACCAAAAUGCACAGGUUGUGAACUCGAAGAGUAGGGCGGGACACGUGGUAUCCUGUCUGAAUAUGGGGGGACCAUCCUCCAAGGCUAAAUACUCCUGACUGACCGAUAGUGAACCAGUACCGUGAGGGAAAGGCGAAAAGAACCCCGGCGAGGGGAGUGAAAAAGAACCUGAAACCGUGUACGUACAAGCAGUGGGAGCACCUUCGGGUGUGACUGCGUACCUUUUGUAUAAUGGGUCAGCGACUUAUAUUCUGUAGCAAGGUUAACCGUAUAGGGGAGCCGCAGGGAAACCGAGUCUUAACUGGGCGUUAAGUUGCAGGGUAUAGACCCGAAACCCGGUGAUCUAGCCAUGGGCAGGUUGAAGGUUGGGUAACACUAACUGGAGGACCGAACCGACUAAUGUUGAAAAAUUAGCGGAUGACUUGUGGCUGGGGGUGAAAGGCCAAUCAAACCGGGAGAUAGCUGGUUCUCCCCGAAAGCUAUUUAGGUAGCGCCUCGUGAAUUCAUCUUCGGGGGUAGAGCACUGUUUCGGCUAGGGGGUCAUCCCGACUUACCAACCCGAUGCAAACUACGAAUACCGAAGAAUGUUAUCACGGGAGACACACGGCGGGUGCUAACGUCCGUCGUGAAGAGGGAAACAACCCAGACCGCCAGCUAAGGUCCCAAAGUCAUGGUUAAGUGGGAAACGAUGUGGGAAGGCACAGACAGCCAGGAUGUUGGCUUAGAAGCAGCCAUCAUUUAAAGAAAGCGUAAUAGCUCACUGGUCGAGUCGGCCUGCGCGGAAGAUGUAACGGGGCUAAACCAUGCACCGAAGCUGCGGCAGCGACACUAUGUGUUGUUGGGUAGGGGAGCGUUCUGUAAGCCUGCGAAGGUGUGCUGUGAGGCAUGCUGGAGGUAUCAGAAGUGCGAAUGCUGACAUAAGUAACGAUAAAGCGGGUGAAAAGCCCGCUCGCCGGAAGACCAAGGGUUCCUGUCCAACGUUAAUCGGGGCAGGGUGAGUCGACCCCUAAGGCGAGGCCGAAAGGCGUAGUCGAUGGGAAACAGGUUAAUAUUCCUGUACUUGGUGUUACUGCGAAGGGGGGACGGAGAAGGCUAUGUUAGCCGGGCGACGGUUGUCCCGGUUUAAGCAUGUAGGCUGGUUGUCCAGGCAAAUCCGGAUAAUCAAGGCUGAGGUGUGAUGACGAGGCACUACGGUGCUGAAGUAACAAAUGCCCUGCUUCCAGGAAAAGCCUCUAAGCAUCAGGUAACAUCAAAUCGUACCCCAAACCGACACAGGUGGUCAGGUAGAGAAUACCAAGGCGCUUGAGAGAACUCGGGUGAAGGAACUAGGCAAAAUGGUGCCGUAACUUCGGGAGAAGGCACGCUGGUGUGUAGGUGAAGCCCCUGCGGGUGGAGCUGAGACCAGUCGAAGAUACCAGCUGGCUGCAACUGUUUAUUAAAAACACAGCACUGUGCAAACACGAAAGUGGACGUAUACGGUGUGACGCCUGCCCGGUGCCGGAAGGUUAAUUGAUGGGGUUAUCCGUAAGGAGAAGCUCUUGAUCGAAGCCCCGGUAAACGGCGGCCGUAACUAUAACGGUCCUAAGGUAGCGAAAUUCCUUGUCGGGUAAGUUCCGACCUGCACGAAUGGCGUAAUGAUGGCCAGGCUGUCUCCACCCGAGACUCAGUGAAAUUGAACUCGCUGUGAAGAUGCAGUGUACCCGCGGCAAGACGGAAAGACCCCGUGAACCUUUACUAUAGCUUGACACUGAACAUUGAGCCUUGAUGUGUAGGAUAGGUGGGAGGCUUUGAAGCGUGGACGCCAGUCUGCGUGGAGCCAACCUUGAAAUACCACCCUUUAAUGUUUGAUGUUCUAACGUUGGCCCCUUACCGGGGUUGCGGACAGUGUCUGGUGGGUAGUUUGACUGGGGCGGUCUCCUCCCAAAGCGUAACGGAGGAGCACGAAGGUUAGCUAAUCCUGGUCGGACAUCAGGAGGUUAGUGCAAUGGCAUAAGCUAGCUUGACUGCGAGCGUGACGGCGCGAGCAGGUGCGAAAGCAGGUCAUAGUGAUCCGGUGGUUCUGAAUGGAAGGGCCAUCGCUCAACGGAUAAAAGGUACUCCGGGGAUAACAGGCUGAUACCGCCCAAGAGUUCAUAUCGACGGCGGUGUUUGGCACCUCGAUGUCGGCUCAUCACAUCCUGGGGCUGAAGUAGGUCCCAAGGGUAUGGCUGUUCGCCAUUUAAAGUGGUACGCGAGCUGGGUUUAGAACGUCGUGAGACAGUUCGGUCCCUAUCUGCCGUGGGCGCUGGAGAAUUGAGGGGGGCUGCUCCUAGUACGAGAGGACCGGAGUGGACGCAUCACUGGUGUUCGGGUUGUCAUGCCAAUGGCACUGCCCGGUAGCUAAAUGCGGAAGAGAUAAGUGCUGAAAGCAUCUAAGCACGAAACUUGCCCCGAGAUGAGUUCUCCCUGAGACUUUAAGUCUCCUGAAGGAACGUUAAAGACGAUGACGUUGAUAGGCCGGGUGUGUAAGCGCAGCGAUGCGUUGAGCUAACCGGUACUAAUGAACCGUGAGGCUUAACCUU